UCAGUUUUGAACCUGAGGCCGUGACAUCACUCAUGGUCUGCAGUCAGUGCUCUGCCCCUGAGCUCUACCAUUUCCUAUGAUAAUCACUCUUAAGAAAGGCAACCCUUGGUGUUUUCCCCUUAAGGUCACCCAGGCUGGAGUGCAGUGGUGUGGUCAUGACUCCCUGUACCCUGGAACUCAGGCUCGGGUGAUCCUCUCUCCUUUGCCUCCCAAGUAGCCAGGACUACAGGUGUGCACCCACCACCACGCUCAGAUAAUUGCUUUGGUGUUUUUAAAGCUUGUAAUAUCAGUAGGCUGAGGCGGGUAAAUCACAAGGUCAAGAGUUUUCUAGAUGUGUUGGGGUAAGCACAGACCAAUUCCUGUUGUCUUAUUUACUGAUUUAAAAUUUUGAGACGUCUCACUGUCACCCAGGUUGGGGUGCAGUGGUACGAUCAUAGCUUGCUGCAGCCUUGAUCUCCCAGGAUCUUGCCUCAGCCUCCUGAGUAGCUGGGACUACGUGCUUGUGCCACUACACUCAGUUAAUAUUUUGUAGAGAUGGGGUCUUGCUGUGUUGUCCAGGCUGGCUUCAAACUCCUGAACUUAAAAGCCUCCUGUUUAGUUUUGGUUUUUUAUCACUUUUUUUUUUUUUUAGAUGGAAUCUCACGCCCAUUGUGCAGGCUGGAGUGCAGUGGCGCAAUCUCGGCUCACUGCAGCUUCCGCCUCUCGGGUUCAAGCGAUUCGCCUUUCUCAGCCUCUUGAGUAGCUGGAAUUACCAGUGUGCGCCACCAUGUCUGGCUAAUUUUUCUAUUUUUAGUAGAGACGGGGUUUUGCCGUGUUGGCCAGGCUGGUCUUGAACUCCUGACCUCUUGUGAUCCACCUGCCUUGGCCUUCCAAAGUGCUAGGAUUACAAGCGUGAGCCACAGCGCCCGGCCUUGCUACUUUUUUUUUUUUUUUACAGACAUGGUCUCGCUAUGUUGCCUAGGAUGGUUUUGCACCGGGUCCAAGCAGUUCUGCCGCAGCCUCUCAAAGUGCUGGGAUUACAGGGGUGAGGCACCUUGCUGGCCCGUUUUGAUUAGGGUGCAGUGUCGGUGAAGCCGGCGCGAGGCCAAUGAUGCAUCCUAAUGAGGGGUGGAGUUGGCGGGACUUCUGGGCCGGUUUGGGGACUUUCAUAAAAGACCCCCAUGACUCAGGGUUUUGGGUUCUUAACCAAUCGGGUGAAGGAUUCAAAAUUAACCACUCCAAGAGGGAACUGAAGGAAGAACCACUCUUGAUGGACAAAAAGAAGGGGGAGGGAGUAACAGGGAUAUGAGCCCUAGCCACCCGAGCCAGCAACGGCAACCCUUCUGGGUCCCCUUCCAGCAUGUGGAAGCUUUCCUUUUGCUUCGUUCAAUAAACAGCU
rnacentral:lncRNA from 1 species